AGACAAUAUUUUUAGGUUGAACACUCUUUGUGAGUUUGUGGGUAUAUCCCUUUGUAUCUACAUUGAAUCUCUCUUGAAUAACUUUUGGUAUUCUUGAAGAAUAACACAAAAAUGAUGACUUAACAUAGAAACAAAUUCAAGAACUGAAAGAAGCAAGUCAAGUUGGAACUACUUCAAGUUCAAAUUCGAGGUCGAAUUCUUUUCAACAAGGGGAAAAUGAUGCAAGUUCGGAAAAGGCUAAUUGCAUGAAAGGAUUCCAACUUGAUAUUGAAAGUUUGGAGUGUUUUGAGAGUGUGUGGAAACCAAAGAAUUAAUACAAGAAAAUAUUUAUAUUAUAUUUUAGGAUACUUUUUGGUCAUAUAUAAUGCACAUGUAACUAAGGACAUUUAUGUCAUUUUCUAUCUUAGCUAACUCUAGUACUAUAAAUAGAAUAGGAUGGACAUUAUCUUAGUUAGAUAAUAUUUUUAGGUCGAAUACUCUAUGGUGAGUUUGUGGGUUUAUCCCUUUGUCUCUAUAUUGGAUCUCUCUUGAAUAUCUUUUAACACUCUAUGGUGAGUUUGUGAGUUUAUCCCUUUGUCUCUAUAUUGGAUCUCUCUCGAAUAUUUUUUGGUAAGAUUAUUCAUGUAUGAGUUUAAUGCUCUUCUCCCUUGAAAUC